GUGAAUUCAUGAUGUUAUUCACACAGUGAAUAACAUUAGAUUUUCCUGUAAGGAAUGCUAACUUUACAGCUCCUUUCUACCAAUCUCUUUUACUUAAGAGACUUUGUGAGAAACUAUUAAGCUGUACUAUUAGGAGAUUGUCAAGAGAAAUAGGCUGUGGAGGGUGCUCUGUGUGUGCCACGAGGCAUAUGCUGGUAAGGAUGAAGAGGAUUUCUGGCUGAAGCAGCAGAAACUGAGCUGCAGUGGCUGGCUCUCUGUCCCCACUAUCAAAAUGGAUAUAGGCUGAAAGAGGGUAGAUUUAGAUGAGAUAUUGGGAAGAAGUUCUUCCCUGUGAGGGUGGUGAGGCCCUGGCACAGGUUGCCCAGAGAAGCUGUGGCUGCCCCAUCCCUGGCAGUGUUCAAGGGCAGGUUGGAUGGGGCUUGUAGCAACCUGGUCUAGUGAAAGGUGCCCCUGCCUGUGGCAGGGGCUGGAACUGGAUGGGCUUUAAGGUCCCUUCCAACCCAAACCAUUCUGUGAUUCUGUGAAUGAAUGUCUGCCGAUGUUUUUCAGUUUAACAACUAUCUUUUUUAUGGGAAGCAAAUGACUUUGUUGUUAUAAGAUGAUAAAUUGAACUCUUUGUUGGAGAAAGAACAUGUGUUAUUAGUGGCUACAACAUGCACGUUGGCUUCAAGACUUUCUGCUCAUAAUUGAUGAAAAUGUAGCUGUUAAGACCCUUCAGUGUCCAUUUCUGUGGAGAAUUAAAUAUUGAGAAAUCUACAUACUCCUUGUGAGAGCAUGUAGCAAAGACUUAAAACACUAUGAGGACAAAUCUGGUGAGAACUAGCUACUGGCAUAAGCUUUAAAGGAGUCUUUGGGCUUUGCAGCCACAGUAAACAACUCAGAAUCACAACUUGCUAUUCUUGCUCUGUUGUUUUCUGUUUGGUUGUAGUUUGAAUGCUGGCUUCUUUAGCAGAAGUUCUCUGAUCCAUAUGAAUGUUGAAGAGGUAUUUGGCAAACAUAAACCCAUUGGACAACCGUGUUGGACAGAACCUGCAUUGCUGCGAGAAUCCACGCAGUUUGCUGGUGCAAGAAGUGCAAGCAUGUCCAAGCUACCUCUGUGUCUCAGAUCAGCAGGAAGAUGCUCAACCAAGCAGACAGCUGAUGGACCCAGCAGCCUCAGCCAGCAUCCUCAGUUCCUGGAUUUAACUGCCUUAACAACCUGUUUGUGCACUCUUCUGCUCGUUUGUGCAUCUGAGACUUGCAAUGGUUUGUAGUCCAGGUCCCCCACAACAGGACCACAGUGGUGCUUUCUGGCAGUGCAGGUACCAGAUGGUAUGGAAAUACCUGGAAAUGCUUCAUGAAGCAAAAGAGGUGAGGUUAUACUGUCACAAAUGUCAGCUGCGUUGAGCUUCCCACUGCUCAGUAGCUCAUUUUGUGUGCUUGCUGAGACUUGGGCUGCCUAAGGAUUUGCAGUGGGAGAAAUCAUUCUUUAUGUCAUAGCUUAAAUCAUUCUAAACCGGUAUUGACCCAGAAUUUGAGAUUAUUUCUAGUAGGUGGAACUGAGUCACUUACAUGACAGUGAAUAGUUUCAGGCAGAUUUUUUUUUGCCUUUUUUUGUUUUAAUUUUUGUAUUUUGAAUGGUUGGUUUUGCAAAUAAAGCAUUAGCAGAGACU